rnacentral:rRNA from 1 species
AGAGUUUGAUCAUGGCUCAGGAUGAACGCUGGCGGCGUGCUUAACACAUGCAAGUCGAACGAUGAAACCGGAGCUUGCUUUGGUGGAUUAGUGGCGAACGGGUGAGUAACACGUGAGUAACCUGCCCCCGACUCUGGGAUAAGCCUGGGAAACUGGGUCUAAUACCGGAUAUGACCUCCUACCGCAUGGUGGGUGGUGGAAAGAUUUAUCGGUGGGGGAUGGACUCGCGGCCUAUCAGCUUGUUGGUGAGGUAAUGGCUCACCAAGGCGACGACGGGUAGCCGGCCUGAGAGGGUGACCGGCCACACUGGGACUGAGACACGGCCCAGACUCCUACGGGAGGCAGCAGUGGGGA